CGAGUGAAGCGGCAAGAGCUCAAAUUUGAAAUCUGGUACCUUCGGUGCCCGAGUUGUAAUUUGAAGAAAGCAAUCUUGGAUUUGGCCUUUGUCUAUGUUCCUUGGAACAGGACGUCAUAGAGGGUGAGAAUCCCGUCUGAUGAGGUGUCCAUUUCUAUGUAAGAUGUUUUCGAAGAGUCGAGUUGUUUGGGAAUGCAGCUCAAAGUGGGUGGUAAAUUCCAUCUAAAGCUAAAUAUUGGCGAGAGACCGAUAGCGAACAAGUACUGUGAAGGAAAGAUGAAAAGAACUUUGAAAAGAGAGUGAAAAAGUACGUGAAAUUGUUGAAAGGGAAGGGUAUUUGAUCAGACUUGGUAUUUAGUUAUCAUUGCUCCUUGUGGGUGGUGCUCUAGCUUUUUACUGGGCCAGCAUCAGUUUUGGUGGCAAGAUAAUGACUGUUGAAUGUAGCUCCUUGGAGUAUUAUAGCCUCAGUUGAUAUUGCCUACCGGGACUGAGGUCUGCGGCUUUGCCUAGGAUGCUGGCGUAAUGAUCCAAUACCGCCCGUCUUGAAACAUGGACCAAGGAGUCUAACGUCUAUGCGAGUGUUUGGGUGUAAAACCCGUACGCGUAAUGAAAGUGAACGUAGAUCAGGGCCCUUUUGGGUGCAUGAUCGACCGAUCCUGAUGUUCUCGGAUGGAUUUGAGUAAGAGCAUAGCUGUUGGGACCCGAAAGA
rnacentral:rRNA from 1 species